UGCUGGGUUCACAGAUGUAAAACAAAAUAAAUUAAUGACAAAUACAACCUGCUUUAAGAUAAUCACCAUCAACUAAAGCAUUGAAAAUUAUGAAACAUAUUCAUGUUAUUACCUGAUAAACAGCUCAAUAUGAUCAAUGAUUCCCCAGGAAGAUAAGCCUUAUGACGAACAACAGGAAUAGGUGGUCCAGGAGCAAACACCUAACAAGCUCAAUAACAGAAUAGGUGGUCCAGGAGCAAGAGACUAGCGGGCUCAAUAACAGGACAGGCAACACGGAUGGAACUACUCGAUAGCAGAAAAGAACAACUACUUUCACUUCCCCUUCCCACUUUUUUCUCUUUAAAAACCUGAAAAAGAUGGUGAAGGGGAACAAGGCCACCCUCAUGGAGGGUUCCUAAGAAGAAGAAUACUAACUAGGGAAGAAAAAGAAAAAAGAAGGAAAUGACAAAAAUGAAGAUGAAGAAGAGGAAAAAGACAGCCAAUUCAGGCCAUCUGACAUAAAGAAAAACAAAGAGGCAACUCUGAGUAUUGGAUUAGUAGAAAGAAAGGAUACUAAGCACAUAACUAUGGAAUAAAAAUAAGGACAACAAGAAUAAAACAGAAACCUAUAGAUGAUCUACUAGGAGUAAUCCGUUAAAAUUUCUAAACUAUAUACAUGGUAUCUGAGACUAGAGACCUAAACCUUAACCAAGAACCAAAUCUCUGAAAAUCAACUGAGGGAAUUAUCCGGAGGACUUCAAUUCUACAACCAACUAGAAUGCAGUUUCCAUCAGGCCCAAUAGAUUAGAGAGCAGUUAGUUUUUCCACACCAUGCCGAAGAAGAGUACAGGCAACCAGUCAAUUCAGAAGCAAAUUCCCAUGCAUUAGUUCCUUCUGCCUCAUCAAACUUUCAAUACCCCAUCUUUCCGUGUUGCAAUACCCAAAUUAUAUAUAUCCUGCCACCUUCUAAAGAGAGAAACCCGGGUCCACAUUAAGCAAACAAAUUCUUAGUGAAAAUUCCGAAGAUAGCUUAUCAACCAGCCAUGACUGUUGUUUGUACCACCACCACCACUACUGCAAAGCUAAAAUAACCGACAGAAAAGGUCACACUAUCGACCUGUUUAUUCACUCUAUAUACAAACUGUCACAUACCCUGUUGACAAAGUCCGAUUAUUUACAGGAGCACGGUGCUCCUCGAACUUCAAUCAUCCGCGAUAUUGAGAUUGAGAAUUCGCCGGAGAUUCUUAGUUGCAAAGUCAGUAAAAUCUCUGGGAGAAGGGUACGGUUCCCUUGUUGGGGAAGGGGGAGCAGACUUGGCGAUGGCGUGCAUUUUGAUAACAGGAGCGGAGCCAGGCAAGUCAAGCGAGACAGUGCGCUUUGGCCGCAUCGAAAAUUUGGGUAUGGGCAAGGAACUAGGGGGUGGCGAGUUUGAAUAAGCGGGUCCAGCCCAGAGCUCACAGUACGAGAAGUCAUCAUGGAAGGACUUCUCAUAGUUAGAAGCCUCGGCAAAGGGAAUUGCAAUUGCACUGCUUUUUCCAGUUGUUUUGGCCUGCUUGCUAUCUUCAGAAUGAGGUGAUGGGGUUUUCUGAGAAAGAGGGCACGCCCCUUUUGCUACAGGAGUAGUACAAGCCUUCAACGGCGUUGGGAGUAUACCUGCCCCAGAUUCAAAAGUCCUACAAUUAAUCUCUCUGAAAUCACUGGAUGGUGACGACACAAAUCUAUCAGACCCAUGAGCCUUGCUUCUGCCAUAAUACUGAUUCCUAUGCUGCGGCACAACAAGAAGCGUCUCCAUCGAAAUACUCACUGAAUCAACUACAAUAACUCUAAACCACCAAGAUCUACACCUACAACUCCGAUCAACGAGUCCCCCAAAUAUAAGCCCCUAAAAAUCACAACUUUACGGUCCCAAUUGUACAGAACCCACCACAGAUUCUAGAUCUCCUCCAUGACAUUUCCAAAACAAACAUCGAAAACCAAACUUCAACAAAACCCCACCAGUUCAACGACUCCACAGCCGCUGAUCUAACCACAGAAAUGCUGACAAUCAAACACCAGAAACCCACCAAACACCACCCUUCAAUCACUGCGAAAACCAAAAACGCACAGAAACGGAUAAGCACACACAACAACAACAACAACAACAACAACAACAACAACCAAAAAAAAAAAAAAUGGAAAAAUAAAAAAAUCAAAGCCCCAAAUUUCAGGCACAAGCAUAAAUAUUCCAUAUCCAUUUUCUUGAGAAAGUCAAAAAGGGGAAAUUACCGGAAGUGGCGAGAGAAAAUUUCAGAUUUCCAGUCAAACAACACCGGUUAGAUCUGAGAGUAUUAAAGGCAGCUUCCAAGAGCUAUAAUUUUUCUCUGAUUUUUCCUAUAAAAAAAAAUAAAAAAAAAACAAAAAAUUUUCCCCCUCUUUUCACAUCGCCAUGAAAAUCGAAGACUGCUGAGAGCUGUGGAUCUGAUAGACUCAGAGUCGUAUUUAAAUAUCAGCGGUAGGUUCAUAGAAAUGGAGGUGACUUCAUUUUCAUAAGAAAUUACCCAAAUGCCCUUCCACUCCUUUCUCCCCUCUACAACUACCCCUUUCCUCAGUGACCAUUUUGCCCUCGGACUGCAAUUACCAUUUCCCCCCUUCUUAUCUUAAAAUUAGAAAAAGAUAAAAUAAUAUAGAAAGUAUAUUUAAAAACAAGACUCUUAAUAUCAUUUUCUAAAAUAUUCUUAAAUUCGAAGAUCUUAUUUUUAUAAUUUUUAAGAUAAUAAAAAUAUCACUAAAAUUGGAAAGAAGAAACAAAAGUUUGGGAAUUUUUUUAUUUUUGAAAUAAAUUUUAUGAAAAAAAAGGACAACAUUUUGAUGUGUAUAAGGGUAGUUUUGGAAUUUCAAGGAUAUGGGUGUGGGGCCCAAAAAAGUCAUGCAAUGGAGUCUGUUCAAAGGAUUGAGACAAAAGAUAGAGAUAAAAGGUUAGUUGGAGUGUAGUGGGUAGGGCUCUGGUUACUUUUUCUUUUCGUACAAGUUUUAGGGGAGCGAAGACCCGGUCGCAUUUGCCGGUUUCAACCGGUGAUAAAAGGUUAAAGGACAGAGCAAAGAGAGAGAGAAAGGCGAAGGGCCAUGUUUUUCUUGACAAGAGCAAAAAUCUGAAUGGUUCUUUGCUUGGAAGAGUAAAAGGGCGAAAAAGCUGCCAAAGAAAUAACGCUUUAAUUCAACUUUGGACUGCACGCCGAAAGGAAUUCCAAACAGCCCUUUAUUCUGAUGUCUCCUCGGGCCCUCCUAAAUUUCAAAAAUAAUUUUUUACAUAAAUAAAUUUGACCAUUGUUUUUUUUUUUUUUUUUUUUUUUGAAAUAAAAAUCUCAUUUUCUUUCCUUUGAAACUUAAUUUUUAAAUUUAAAAGAAAGAAAAUGAGCUGGGAAAAAGAAGAAAAUAAAGAGGACAGGGAAGCAAUUAUGGUCACAUGGGAAAAAAAUGUUAAAGAAAAGGGUAAUAUGGUAAUUUAACAUGAUUUUUAAAUUUAAAAAAAAUUAUGUUUUAAAAAUUUGUUAAAUACUUGAUUUUUAUAAUAAAAUAAAUUUUUAAAUAAUAAAAAUGUUUUUAACUCUUUCAAAAUCACUCUCAAACAAAUAUUUUAGGAAUAUAAUCUUGUUAUAUUAAAUUUGUGUGACAAAUUUUGCUAGGAAUGAUGAAAAAAAUUAGUCAAAAUUUGUUAAGAAGUAAUAUAGUUUCAUAUUAGACCAAAUGCGCGACUCCAUCAAAGCUUUUGCUUGUUAGCUCAAGGCUAAUUUAGGAAAGUCAGAGAAAUUUUGGGUUUGUUUUAAAAAUAGCUUUUAAAAAUAAUUUUUUAUUUUUAAAAUUAGAAAACAAUUUUCUAAUUUAAAAUAUACAAUUAACAAAAUUUUUAUAAAAAAAAAAUUAACAGUCUUUUAUAAAAAAAUUAAAUUAAAUUUAACCACUUUAUCAAAUAAGAGUAAAUGUUUGGUGGUGUUUGUUUUUUUACUUAAUUCUAAAUAAAACCUUAAUACUUAAUAGUGCUAAAUAUUAGGUUGUUUGCUUUUAUAGUAUUUUAUUUCUAUUAAGUAUUAAAAAGUAAAAAAAAUCAAUAUGUUAUUUUUUCUAUUUAGAAAAAGCUACAUAUUUUGGUUUUUUCUAUUUAAUAAAAAGUUUAUAAUAAGUCAUGAAAAAAUAGAAAAACAAACAAUCUAAAUUUUAAAAUUAAAUUGUUUUCAGCAAAAAACCAAAAAAACAAACAUCACCGAAGUCUCAAUUAUUAAUUCUGCUUUAGUUUUUUAACCUGGAACCCUAAUUGUCAAUCAAUAUUUUAACUAAAAAAUGAAGUUUCGACCGUCAACUUCAAUUGAGACUUCAUUAUUUAACUAAAAUCUCAAUUAAUAAUUAUGAUUUUAUUUUUGAACUAAAAUUAAUUGAAACUUCAUUUUUUGUAGAAGGAUGAUGUUACACUCACAGGUUGAAUAUAAGUUUAAAAAAAGGCCAAAAGGAACAUUUUUAUAGUCAAAGGGCCAUUUUGAGCCCUAAAUUCAUGAAAAUAAAUUAUUUUUAGUUUUUAAUCUUUUAAUUAAAAUAUUUUGCGUAGUAAUAAAAAUUUGGAAAAAUAUUUUAAACUUUUUUACACGAUGGACAUGUAAAGUAGCUUCAUUGAAAGUGAGAUGAGGAAAGUCUUAUUGAUAUGCAAGUUUUCAAAUAGAAUUUUAUUAUAACAAAUAAUUAAAACAUUUUUUAAAAGCGCUUUUAAAAAGCUUUUUUUUAAUAAGUAAUGUCCAAAGGUUUGUUUUGAAAGCCUUUAUUUGCUUCAAUCCAUUAUAAUGUGUUGAUUCAUCCAAUGCAAUUAAAUGCCACUUUAUUUUUGACCUACCAUUGUAGGUAGCAAAGAAGACAUGGUGCUUUCCCUUUGAAAAUGGGCCUUUAGAAUUAUUAUUUUUGGCCCAACCUUGGUGGUUUCCAUAUCAAAGAACUUGUCAAAAAAAGGGGACCAUACAUUAUUAUAAUAAUAAAAUAAAAUUAAAAAAUGGGCCCAUAUACCUGAGUGAUGUACCCUUGCACUAAUAACAAUUCAAUGUUGAAUCAUCAUAGCCAAAUGCUCGAAUAGACUCGAUCCAUUAAAGCUUUAUGCACUUGGAAGAGCACCUCUAACCCCUUAUGAUGUCACGUGGAGUGGAUAAAUUAGGUAAUAAGCAUCACCCCACAAAGUCAUUAAGAUUUGAAAUCAAAUGGGACAACGAUUAAUGGAACAACGUGAGGGUCAAUUCAUGGAUGCUUGAUCAAAAGACCUUGUGGAGAAGUCAAGACAUUGUAUUGCUUCAAUACAAUCAUUUGCCUCACUUGCAUUAAGUACUCAGGGAGAUCACUCAUUUUAUUAAACUUGUUAAAUUUGGGGAUGGCAAUGCCACUGGUUGAGUUUCUUUGGUAUGGUAAAUCAAGGUAUUUCUUUCCACUAGAAUUUAUCGACCACCAAUGUCUCUUUUUAUCGGUAAGUAAGUGGAAUCCAUUUUCUUAAUAUACCCUAAUUGUGUGUGUUGGUCGAAGGAUAUGGAAAUAAAGGACUAAUUCAAAAGACACAAAUAAAUAACAUAAUGAAUAAGAAGAAAAACUUAUCGAGUGAGGCGUGAUAAGUACUGUCCUUGAAAUAGAUUCACCCUCUUCAAAGACAAACUCGAUGUACUAGGAUACUAAUGGUCUACCUCCAAAAUUCAACAGACAGAUACGUGUAAAAAUUCUUCAUGAUAGAUAUAUGAAAGGCUCUCCGAAAAAUUCAUAUUCAUAUUUAGAGAGUGAUGGAUGAACUACUUUUAUAGGUCACUAACAUGGUUCUAAUAGGACUCUAUUUGUAAUCAAAACAGGACAAUGAACUAGUUAAUAAACCCACUAAAGGUGCAUCUUUUUCCUAUGUGGGAUAAGCAAAAAACACUUUUGAUACAGUGUGUUCAGGCAUACUAUUCACUCUCUCAUUUUUUUUUUUUUUGGCCAAAUCUCUUCACUCUCUCUUUUUUUUUUUUUGGCCAAAUCCUUCAAUCUCUUCACUGUCUCCUCCUCUUGCUUACCCAUACUCUUUUAUCCAUUGUCAUUAUCCGUUCUUGUAGUGGCACAAAAAGUGGUGGACCUUUAUGGUGUUCUCCCACUCGUACAUGUCUAUGCCAUGGUGUUGGGUGAUAGUUUUUUGUCAAGUUCCCAAAGGUAGUACUACUCUAUUAUGCACUACUCUACUAAUAGAGAACGUCACACUUGGGAGCAAAACCAAGUAGCCUCGACCCUACACAAGAAUUACCAAAUAUCAUUAGAAUGGGAGGCCAAGACGACAUUCACCCUCACGAUACUCAAGCCAAUCAUAGUUCUUUUAAUGAUGAAAAGUAAGCAAAAUAUAAGAAGAUAGAGAAGGGAAAUUAACCACCUGUUUUUCACUAACCCCAAUGAUUAUUAGCCGUUGAAAAUGUAAAUUCUCACCCACAAAAUCACCUUCUCAUCCACUUUUGGAUCUAUUCUACACAAUAUUGAAGCAUGAUACUGAAUCUGAUACUUGGCCCAAAGGCAAGUGACUGCCUGUACUCAUCAGAAUGGUACUCUGAUAUUAAUUUCUCAUGCAUGCAUGCAUGCAUGCCUGCCAGCUGCAACCUAUCUUCUUUCCCACCCAUUCUCCAUAACUUGUUCAACUACCAAACAAUUCCUCUCAUCAUCAGCUCGUCAGCUAUAUUGUGAAUACUCUCCCACAAUGCUCACCAAUUAUAUACAUGAGCCAGGAACCAAAAGCCCACCUCCACCCAAUUUUCUGUUACCCUUUCUAAGACAUGAUGAGCUGAGUAUGGUCAGGCAUGUGAUGCUGGCGUUAGAGAGAUAUGCUUGGAGUUGGAACAAGGAUGAAAAUAUCGAUUUUUAUCCAAAUUUAAAUUGUAAAAUGGGCUGGGCUUGGAGACGGACACAGCAACCAAAAUGUCAGGAAAAUAUCGCUCUGUCUAUGGCACAUGAGUUGAAAAUUGCUGAUCUCAUGGAACUGUAGGCCGCAGAAACUUCUCCCCAACUUUAGGGGGCACUUCCAUCCUUGGAUUGGAGUUUGUAGCAGGAAUAGUGGGGUAUGAGAUGGAGAGCCAAGCUGUAUCCAUUGCCUAUACAAUGAAUAUAGUGACAUGUCUAUAAUAUUUUCUCAAGUGAAUUGCAUCAUGGAUUGUCAUUUUUUUUAUAUGGGAUUAUAGAUAAAAAAUAAAAAAUAAAUUUAAAAUUAAUAAAUUAUUUUUAUAUACUAUGUUAAAUUUUUUUCACUUUCUUAACUCAAAUUUUUAAUAAUUUUAAUUAUAUUUGACUUUCUUUCCCGUUUUCUACAAUAAAAAGAAAUAGAAGAAAAUCAUUUUUCUUGACAUUUUUUUUUUUUAAUACUUUUUGAGAACCAAACAUAGCCCUAGUAAAUUUCACAGAUUUGAUUUAUCUAGGUUUGAGAAGAAAGAACAUCCAUGUUUUCCCCCAAAAACAAUGUGGAAAGCAAAUUUUUAUUUCAUUAAAUUUUACAAAUAUUAAAAUUAUCUCUCCCUUCGAUAAACACAUUUAAAUAUGUUAGUAAUGAAGGGAGGAUCAUAUAACAUAAAAUCAUGCAGCCAUUAUUAGUGUAUGCUUUUAAUGUGACACAUUCCCUUGUGACAAAGCCCAUAAGAUUUUGGUGGGCUGGCCCGAAACAACAUUCACCAACCCAAACCAGACGAGAUGUUUUGGGUCUGGGUUGAGUUUGGACCAGCCCAAGCCCAAACAUUUGAUCUAAAUAGGAAGGGUAGUUUUGAUAAUAUGGUGAAAUACAUGGGCGAUAAAAGAAUCGCCUUCGCCUUUCCACUGCAAGUAUUCCCUCUCCUCCCUCCCACUUUGUCUCAAAUCCAAUCAGAUGAAUCGCUUUCACGCCGAAAGCUAAGAAUCUCUCUUUCUCUGUUCGCAUUUCGGGUUUGAAUUUGUUCCAGAUUUCCGAUCGUUGGACCAUUCUUUCAUAAUUUUCCAUCCUAUUUUCUUGUCCUACAACUUUCCCAGAAAAUAUUUGGGGUACCUGAUCAAAGAAUUUGAAACAUUCCGCACGCUUCUCCGGUUUAGGGUUUUUCUCUGUCUGUCCUUUUCUUGAACCAAGCAAACCCCCGAGGCCAUGAAGGCUAAUCCCACACCCAAGAAGAGAAGUAUCAGCCUCCAAUACGACAUCGUUUCGACUCUCUCAGAAGCGAAUCGGCUGGUUUCCAGCCAGAAGAAGCUCCGAAGACUCCCCCACAUAUUCACACGAGUUCUGGAGCUUCCCUUUCGGUCAGACGCCGACGUCUCCGUAACGGAAACCCCCGACCACCUCCGGUUCGCCGUCACCACCGACGACGUGGGCGACGAUGUCCGAACCCAGACAAUCCAACUCCACCCUGGCGUCACGAAGGUGGUGAUCAGAGGCAGGAACUUUCUGGAUUUGUCCCUGGACGGACUGGGGGUGGAGCUCGAUCUCGAUUUGUGGCGGUUCCGGCUCCCGGCGUCGACGUUGCCAGAGAUGGCGAGCGCCGCUUACAGUGAUGGAGAGUUGGUUGUGACGGUUCCGAAGUGUGGUGCUGAUGAUGAUGAAGAAGGGGUUUGGAGCGCAGGGACUAGGCCUUUGGUUCUUGUACAGUGAAUUUUAAGAACUGAUUUUUCGGUCCAAGAAAAUAAAUUGGUAGUGAAUAAACUUUUUCUUUUCUUGGUCAAGUUUGAAUCUUGAAUUCUAUCACUAAGAUGAUAGUUUCUGAAUCUUUCAACUUAACACCAUGUUUGGAUGAGAAUAGAAUUCAAUCCGAUUGCCCAAAUCCUUAUCAUUCAAUCCCGCUUGGAUGAGGUUUUUUUCGAUUAAUUUGAAUCUUAUUUAAUAUUUUUAUAAUAUAUAUCAAUUUUUUUUAAAUAAUAUAGAUUUUUUUAUUUUAAAAUUUUGUCUUUUCAACUAUUUAAAUUUUUUAUAAACAUAUAAAAAAAUUAAAUAUUAUGAAUUGAUUUUGAAUUACUUAAUUCAAAUAAUUUUUAUCUAAUUUAACCAAGUUUUGAAAAAUAACAUUUCAAUUUCUAAUUUAAAAUACUAAACUCAAAACUCGACCUGAUCUUAAUUUUUUAAUUUUUAGGAUAUAUUUGGUUCCGAAAAAUAUAAGAGAAAAUUUUAAUUCACCAUCAUUCUUAUCAUAUUUUCAAUCAUAUUCUUAUACAUCAAUAAUUAGAGUGCUUCUAUAUCAAAUUUCUCUAUUAAUUGGAAAAAUAAUUUAAAAAAGUAAUUCAAAGAGAUUAAAGCUAUGUUUAGUUUCCAAAAAAUGCGAUUGUGAGGGAAAAUGAAAGAAAAAAAAAUUAAGAAAAGAAAUAAAAUAAAUUUUAAUAAAAAAAUUUUAGAACUUUAUUUUAUAUAUAUUUAUAUUAAAAUUUAAAUAAUAAAUAAAAUAAUAUUUCGUAUAACAAAAAAAGUGCAAAUAAGUUUACAUACGUUCUACAAAAUAAAUUACAAUUUGAUAUUUUUCUUUAAGUCUAAUAUUAAUUUAAUUUAAUUUUGUAUUAUUUAUUUUAUUAAAAUACAAAAUAUAAUGUAUGUUGAACUGAUGACACCUGUCUCUCUCAAAAACCCCAUUAGCUUAUUGGCAUGGCGCUUCAAGCCAGGUGGCGGACAAACAGGGGGAGAGACGUAAGGGCCGCCACCUGUAACACUGCCGCCACAACCUCAUCUUCUACACCCAACGCGUGUUACUAUAAACCCUCCCCGCUGUUAAACCCUCGUUCGCUCCAAACCUCCAUUUAAAUGAACCCCAUGAGGUGGUGAUCACUCUGCGGUAAGUUUGUUCUUGUUCUAAUUCUAUCGGUCGUCCAAAAUGAGCCAGCAACAACGCCCACGGCCAACCCAACCUACAACAGAACCCAUCAAAUACAGCGAUGUUUUUCCUGUUUCCGGUAGCCUUGCGUCCAAACCCAUUGCGCCCCAGGAUGCAGCCACCAUGCAGUCUGCUGAAAAUACUGUUCUGGGAAACACCCAAAAGGGCGGCCCGGCCGCCGUCAUGAAUUCGGCGGCCACCAAGAACGAGAGGGCCGGACUUGUCAGUCACGAGCAGGUUACUGAUGUUGUCGCCACUGACGGUGUGACUAUAUCGCAGGCUAACGUGGCAGGCAGCCGUAUCAUCACCGAGGCGGUCGGUGAUCAGGUUUCGAUCAAUCUUCAACCAUCCUCAAAUUUUUAGAAAUUCCCCCUUUGUUUUGGAUCUUUGGUUAAUACAUGUGAUAAUAUCGAUUGGUUCUGCAACAGGUUGUUGGCGAAUAUGCUAGGCCACCACCGGUGGCAAUGACUUCCCCAGCUUCCGCUCUCGACCGCGACGCCAUCACAAUCGGCGAAGCACUGCAGGCCACGGCUCUCUCUGCCGGCAACAAGCCCGUCGAUCAGAGCGACGCGGCGGCGAUACAAGUAGCCGAGAUGAGAGCCACCGGAAGCAGCGAAGUAGUUCCGGGUGGCAUAGCCGCCCAGGCACAAUCUGCAGCAACAACCAAUGCCCGUCUGAUCCUAGAUGAAAACAAGACUAAGCUCUCCGACAUUCUCACGGUGAGAGCAAGAAACUUCUCUUAAAUCAUCCGAUCGUCAUGUAACUUCAUAUGAUAAAUUUUCAAAGGUGCAACUAUUGGCUGACUGGGCUGUGUUGGUUUCCCUGGACAGGAUGCGACGGCUAAGCUGCCGGAUGACAAACCGGCGACGCGUGAAGAUGCAGAAAGGGUGAUAGGUGCGGAGCUAAGGAACGAUCCUAACAUGGUUACGUACCCUGGUGGAGUGGCGGAGUCGGUGGCAGCAGCUGCCAGGCUCAACCAAAGUACAAAGUAAAAGUAGCGUUUUUUUUUUCCUUCGUUUUUUUUCGCUGUGGCAUAACAUCGAAUAGGUGGUGUGGGUUUAGAGUUUCAUAAAAGACACUGAACUUUUCAUUAAGAGUUGAAAUGUGUGUCAUAAAAAUAGAUCGUUUGUGGGAUUAAUUUUGCUUAAAAGUUAAGCUUGAUGGAUUUGGGUUAAGAGAGAAAAUUUGAAUUCAUUUGAGACCUCCCACCAAACCAAUCUGGUGGGCUCAAGCCACGGGCUUUUAUUUUGCUUGGAUGUUGUUUCUCCGCUGAUUUCCAAUCAGGUAUUUGCUUCCUAGGCCCUGAGAUUGGAUUGGGCUGGGCUUUUGCUGGAUCCAAGCUCUAAUGGGCGGUGAUCAAGUGUCCUUUAUCCAAAGGUGUUUUUUUGUAUUUCUUCACAAUUUUCAAAACCCAUGUGCACUAAAAUGAUAUAAACUAAAUUGCCCCUCCAUACAUCUGAUCUACUGUGAUAACAAAUCGGAGCCCAAUAAUUGAAGAGUAAUGAAUUUAUUUUUUAUUUUUUAUUUUUUAGGGUUUUAAAAUGUCAAGACAGGGAAGAUGGUGUUGGAUGAGGAGGCAAAUAAGGGUGAUGUUGAUAUAUAUUGAUGGGCUUACAUUAUUGACUGAUUGCAAUCUCAUGGAAGUGGGCAUGUGUCACUGCAUUUUGCACACGGCUUGGCUGGCUUGUGGCCACACUCCCCUACAAAGACAACUGCUACAGCUAAUGCCCUUACAUCUCAUCUCCUGAUCUCCAUUUGCUUGUGGUCACCCCCUCCUUUAGGUCUUCCACAAGUGUGGGUGAAUUGGUCAUUUAAUAGGAACUUAACAGGGUAUUAGAGUCUGUUUGAAUUGGUCAUUUUUUUUAUUUAUUAAAUUCAUGUACAAGUCCAAAAAAACUAUCCAAAUUUGCCAACCACUUGGAUUAAAAAACAUUUGAAAAGGAGCAUCACAAUCAACAUGUGUUUUCAAUGUAUUCAAUUGCUUAUUAGAUUAUUAAAUAGGUGGACCCUCUAACCUAACUCAUCAAGAUUCAAUUAUCAACACUAUUGUUGAAAGGAGGAGACGAAAAAGUGAGCUUAAGAGAAUGGGUGUUUGCUCAAAAGGGAAAAAUUUGGGAUGUCAAAAAUUUUGGAGGAAAAGUCACUUGGGGGACGGGUGUUUGUUUCUUGGGAAAAUAGAAGAGAGUAGGAAGUUUGGGGCAGUGAGAAAAGUUUGGAACAUGGGCUCGUGAUGUGGUGAUUUGUUCAAAGGACAAUCAUGCAGAGAAAUCCCCAUGGUCAUCCGCUCAGGGUGAUGUUGAUCUUUCACAAUCUGGCUUUGUUCUCUGCCAGUCUCACACUGUGCAUUGUCCUCCCAAAAGUUUAAAAGGGCUUAUUCUUUUUAAUAUAUGUCCUUCCAAAAGUUAAAAGUGAUUAUUCUUUUUUACAAUAUACAAAUAAAUAUAUAUUGAGAAGAUGCCUUUUUUGAUUAAAUAUUUAGAAUAUAUAUUUGUUGAAAACUAUUCAAAUAUAGAAAACAAAGAAAUCCCUUUUGGAAAUGAGGAUCAUCACUUAAAAAUUUACAUGAUUAAACUAAUUGAUACUAUCAUAACGUGUUUUUCAACGAGAAGAUUUUUAAAAUUUGUAAAAAGUGAUAUUUAAUAUGUCCUGAUAUAUUUUAAAUUUAUAAGAGUCAAAUGAGUCUAAAAUAAAAAAUAUUUAUAUUAAUCAUCAUCAAAUAAUAUCAAAAUUAAUUUUUAUUGUCAUUAAAUGAUAUUAGAGUUGUUUUCAAAGUAUGAAGACUUUUAUAGGUUGUGAUAAGGACAUAAAUAAAGUUUUAGGUUAUAUAACAAUCAGGAGCACCUACUUUAUCAUCUGGUGUCAUUGUAACUAUAAAUACCAUCACGAUAACUCAUAAAAUUCAGAAUCUAUUUGAUAUUGUUUUUAAAACAGUAGUCUAAAAAGUGUUUCUAAAAAAAAAUUAGGUAUUUGACUAAAUUUAGAAAACACUCUAAAAAUUAUUUAUAGUGAUAAAAAAAAUUGAUAGAUGAUUCUCCUAAAAAUACUUCGAAUAGAAACAAUAUCAAACCCUCAAUAUUCCUUAUCAUGGGGUUAGGUCGAUGGAUCGUCUAUCAUGCUUUUAUCCAUCAAUCAAAGAGAACUAAUUAGACUAACUUCAUCAUUUUUUCCUAAUAAGAACUCUUCUUCUUUUUUUAAUUCUAACUUCUAGUUUGGUUGAUUUUAGUGACGAGGGUGAUGGGAAAAAAGGGUAGGUUAGGGUUAGGGAGGUGGUUGAAGGGUCCACCGAGCAUGUGGGUGGUGAGACGGUUGUGGGGGUUGGUUGGACCAUCCUAAUAGCCUACCUGAACAUUGCCUUGUUUGAGCCAAUACCUGCUCUCAAAGCUUUUCCCCAUAUGGAUAAUGGUGGAAGUUUCUUCUUUCUCCAUCAGGUGUGACUUCUUCCUCUGUUAUUUGUGGGAAUGUUACGUUUCCACCUUGCUUGUGUAUUUUUGAGUAAUGCUGCCGAAAGCUUUCUGUUUUGGAUUUUGUUUUGGACUUAGCUACUUUACUUUACUCUCAAAUAUGACUCCCUCCAAUUAAUUCAAAAUCUUCGGAAAAUAACUACAAUUUGUAGUAUCAAAUGUUUUUUGAAAAAUACCGGGAUACUGAUUCAAUACCUAUCAAACUUGCAAUCUUAAGUAUUGAAAAUAUAUGGUGAAAUCUAGAUUACUAACUAAACAUGCGUGUAUAUACGAGAUUAGGGUACCAAUAAAUUAUAACAAAGUAUAAAAAGAAUGAGGAUCACAGUAAAAACUCAUGAAAGGUAAGUUGAGAUACAAAGUAAUGAAAUUAAGUAGUCUACAUGAUAUUUUGUGAUUGAUCUCAUUUUUCGGUAAAUAUUGAUUUCAUAAGGUUGAUAGCUUUUUGUAUAAGCUAAAAUCAAAGUUGGAGCUAUGAUUUUAAAACAUUAAUACAUUGGUAUUAUAAAAUUAAAUAAGAAAUAAUUUUUUAGGAAAAAAGAAAAUCAAAUUAGGACUUUCAAGAUAAUCACUCUUUUCUAACUUUUAUAUUAAAUUAUUCAAAUAAAUAUACAAACUUUUAUUAAGUUCAAAGACACAGAUCCUUCAAAUUAGUUUUUACACAUUUAUUUAUAUCUAUUCUCAUUCUCGUCAAAUAAAUAAACGAGACAAGGUAGUGCAAGUGACCGGUAUAGGAAAUUCAUAUACUCUCGCCCCAUUCUACCCCAUUUAUUUUUUUUAUUAUAAAAUUUUAAAUUUUGUUAAAAAUAAAUAUGAUUUUAUAAUAUAAAAAAUUAUAAAUAUUUAUUUUUAUAAAAAAUAAUAUUUCAUUUAUGUUAAAAAAGUUGAAAAAAAUCAAUUAAAACAUUUUUUAUUUAAAAUGAUAUAUAAUCAAUAGGAGAAAGCCAUAUUCCAUCCUACCUCAAACUCAUAUCUAAAUUUUUAAAAUCUUCUUAAAUUCCUCUCAAACACAUUUUUCUUUAUUUUAAACUUUUCGCAUUAGAAACGUGAUGAGAUGAAUACCCGAAAAAGCCCACUUCAUUACCGUCCCUAAACACAACCUUUUAGUUUAAUUGCCUGAAUCGAUUUAAAACAAUGGACUAAACAUCUACCCAUUUUAAUAAUGGUAUAAUUUGUGAAACAUAUAAUAAGGUUUAUUCAUGAAUGCGAUGUCCCACAAAUGAGAAAGCACAUGCAGGUCACAUGACAUAGUCAGAGGGGAGGAGAGUGGAUGAUUAUCUUGCAAAGGGGAAAUGCACUGAAAUGUGAAUUUCAAACCAAAUAAUGAGAGUGGGAACUGUACAUUUUGCUAUACACACAAAGAUGAAAGGGGUGGGGCCCAACAAGGGACAGGACCUAGUUGAGAAAAAUUAAACAAAAGGCUCUGUAGGUCAAGUGAUAAGACAAUCACAGCCAUCUGAUCUUUCACUUUCCUGCCCAAACUAGAGUCAAUGAAUAAGGGCCUCAUCACACCAAACACACAAAAU
rnacentral:lncRNA from 1 species